GGUCUCGUGGCGUAGCGGUUUAUCGCGUCCGGUUUUGAUUCAACACCACGAAGUGGUUAUCACUUCCGGAAGGUCGCCGGUUCGACCCCGGCCGGGACCU
rnacentral:tRNA from 1 species